CGCAUGAGCAAAGGAAAAAUACGUAUCCUUAAGUCAAUACGGGGCACGACAUGCUUCAAUAAGGGACAUUUAAUUCGGGCAACAAUGGGUCAAAGGCCCUCGGCCGAUCACGUUUCUGCAUACAAGACUUUAAGCGACACACAGGCAUCCGUUGCCUGCUAUAAGCCAAAAUGACCAAGCAGGGGCAAAUGUCCAGGUGGGCUUCAAUGUCUACAUCGUAUAGAACAUUUAGCACGAGAUAGAGAAUAGUUCGUGGAACUUGGAAAUUCCGUCAUAUAGGUAUGCUCACAGGGGGCCAAGCCAACCAAGGCAAAAUGUUUUGCACUCGGAAAGAACUGAAAAGGUGUGGUCCCAUGAUUGUCGCUGCCGAGGCAGGGAACCAACCNAAGGGAACAUACC
rnacentral:misc_RNA from 1 species